rnacentral:rRNA from 1 species
UACGUAGGGGGCAAGCGUUAUCCGGAUUUACUGGGUGUAAAGGGAGCGUAGACGGCAGUGCAAGUCUGGAGCGAAAGGCGGGGGCUCAACCCCCGGACUGCUCUGGAAACUGUACGGCUGGAGUGCAGGAGAGGUAAGUGGAAUUCCUAGUGUAGCGGUGAAAUGCGUAGAUAUUAGGAGGAACACCAGUGGCGAAGGCGGCUUACUGGACUGUAACUGACGUUGAGGCUCGAAAGCGUGGGGAGCAAACAGG